rnacentral:rRNA from 1 species
CCUACGGGUGGCUGCAGUGGGGAAUAUUGCGCAAUGGGCGAAAGCCUGACGCAGCGACGCCGCGUGAGGGAUGAAGGUCUUCGGAUCGUAAACCUCUGUCAGCAGGGAAGAACGGUCACUGUGCUAAUCAGCAGUGAAUUGACGGUACCUGCAAAGGAAGCACCGGCUAACUCCGUGCCAGCAGCCGCGGUAAUACGGAUGGUGCGAGCGUUAAUCGGAAUUACUGGGCGGAAAGCGCUCGUAGGCGGUAUGUCAAGUCAAGGGUGAAAUCCCCGCGCUCAACGUGGGAACUGCCUUUGAAACUGGCACACUGGAUUGUGUGUGAGGCUAGUGGAAUUCCAGGUGUAGGAGUGAAAUCCGUAUAUAUCUGGAGGAACAUCAGUGGCGACGGCGACUCUCUGGCCCAUACCUGACGCUGAGGAGCGACAGCGUGGGUAGCAAACAGGAUUAGAUACCCGAGUAGUC